rnacentral:rRNA from 1 species
UACGUAGGGUGCAAGCGUUAAUCGGAAUUACUGGGCGUAAAGCGUGCGCAGGCGGUUUUGUAAGUCUGUCGUGAAAGCCCCGGGCUCAACCUGGGAAUUGCGUUGGAGACUGCAAGGCUUGAAUCUGGCAGAGGGGGGUAGAAUUCCACGUGUAGCAGUGAAAUGCGUAGAGAUGUGGAGGAACACCGAUGGCGAAGGCAGCCCCCUGGGUCAAGAUUGACGCUCAUGCACGAAAGCGUGGGGAGCGAACAGG